UGAAAAGGCACUUAGUCACCCAAGAGCUCUGAUGAAGAUGUACAAGGAGAUGAUUGUUGUUAACAUGCCUGCUAACAUAUUUAUUCUGCAGCCCAUGGAUCAAGGAUUAAUUUUCACUUACAAGUCACUCUUUAAGAAACACAUUUUGUAAGGCUACAGUUGUUGUAGAUAGUAAUUCCUCUAAUAGAUCAGGGCAAAGCCAAUUGAAAACCUCCUGGAAAGAAUUCACCAUUCUAGAUACCUUUAAGAACAUUUGUGACUUAUGGGCAGAGGUCAAAAUAUUAAUAUUAACUGCAGUUUGCAAGAAGUUAAUUCCAACCCUCAUGGAUGACUCUGAGGGGUACAAGACCUCAGUGGAGAAAGUCAUUGUAUUUGUGGUGGAAACCUCAAGAGAACUAGAAUUAGAAGUGGAGCCUAAAGAAGUGACUGAAUUGCUGCAAUCUUGUGAUAAAAUUUGACCAGAUGAGAAGUUGCUUCUUACGGAUGAACAAUAAAAGUGUUUCUUGAGAUGGAAUCUAUUCCUGGUGAAGAUGCUGUGUAUAUUGUUUAAAUGACAACCAAGGAUUUAGAAUAUUACAUAAACCUUAUUUGAUAAAGAAGCAGCAUAGUUUGAGGGGACUGAUUCCAAUUUUGAAAGAAGUUCUGUGGAUAAAAUGCAAUCACACAGCUUCACAUGUUACAGAGACAUCUUUGAAAACUUCAUUGUUGCCUUAUUUUCAGAAAUUGCUGCAGCCACUCAACCCUGAGCUACCACUACCCUGAUCAGUCAGCAGCCAUCAACCUCUAGGCAAGACCCUCCACCAGCAAAAAGAUUACAAUUUGCUGAAGGCUCAGAUGUUUGUUAGCAUUUUUUAGCAAUAAAGUAUUUUUAAUUAUGAUAUGCACAUUGUUUUGCAAACAUGUGUUUGCACACUUAAUAGACUAUAGGUAGUGUAAACAUAACUUUUAUAUGCACUGAAAAACCAGAAUUUCGUGUGACUUGCUUUACUGUGGUGGUCUGGAACCAAACUCAGUAUCUCCAAGGUGUGCCUGUAUUGGUUUUCAGCACUUUGACUAUAAUGUGUGUAGUUGUGGUUUUCUUUGCAUCUAUCCUACCUGAAGAGUGUUGGAUCUCUUAUAUCUUGAGUUUGAAAUUUUUAAUUAAAUUUAGAAAUUUUUCAGCCAUUGUUUAUCUGGAUAUAUUUUUCUGAACCAUUAUCUCGCCCUUUUUCUAGGACUCUAAUUGCAGAUAUGCAGAAUGGCUUGAUUUGGCUUCACAGGUCAUUCUGGCUCAAUUUUGUUUUUAACUUCUGCUGUCUGUGCUUUAGUUGAAUAACUCUUGGUGCAUCUUCAAGUUCCUUAAUCCUUUUCUCUUAAAUAUUCAAUCUGCUUUUAAUCCUCUUGAAUGAACUGUUUGCCUUUUUCAGUUCUGGAAUUUCCAUUUAGUUCUUCUUUUGAGUCUUUAUAGCUCCACAGAAUUCUUCAUUUUUUCACUCAUUAUAUAUAUCUUUUCUUAUAAUUUAUUUAAUACAUUUUAAUAUUUAAAAGUCAUUGUUUGCUAAUCACACCAUCUAUAAUUUUUUCUGUGACCUUCUCUAUAAUGUCUUCCUAUCCAAAUAGACCAAAAACUUUACAACACAGAGAUUAUGAAUGGCUGUUUCUCUUCUUUAUCCAAGAGUAAAUACCUAAUAUGUAUUUGUUGAGUGAAGGAAUGAAUAAAAGAUCAGUCCCCUAAGCACCACAAGCUUUACAAGUGCAAUGCCAUAAAAAAUGCUCAUAAAGACACUUGUAACAAAUUUUUGAACCAAGCCCCAAAUAUAAAAAUGGUUCCAGUGGCAUAUAUAUUUUUCACUAUUAAAGUUAUAGUAAUGGAAGUCAUUUUACUCAAAUGCUUUUUAAUUUUUCAUAGUUGAUAUUAACAUAAGGAUUUUUUUGUCUGGUAGUGCCAUAGAUGGAGCAGAGUGAAGCAAGAUAAAGCCUGUUGAUUUUUCAAUUCUUGUAGUUUUCCUAAGCUUGCAGGCCUUCAGAUUUAGAGUGGAAAUAUACUGUCAUCUCUCCUGUGUCUCCAGCUUUCCAUGUGACCAUAGAACCUCUCAGACUCCAUAAUCAUAGAAAACUCCAAGUAUUUUUUGCAAGGAAAAGUUGAUGAUACUGAUGAUGAUGGUGAUGGUGAUGGUGGUACUGAUUAGAGUGCUGAUGGUAGUAGUCCUGUAACUUGAACAAGGUUACAGGACAAGUAGAAUAUGGCAGAGAUGGAAUUUGAACCCAAGCAAUCAAAUUCAAAAGACUAUACUCUAAAGCAAUGGCACUCAGGGAGUGAUCCAUCAGUGCCUGUGCACAACAAGGUCCACAACCUGGCAUUUAGUGGUAGGCCUGGAGCUGCUCUUGGUCAACAGUGUCAGAAGUUGGGAAGAAGAGCUGCAUAUCAAGCAGAAGAGAAUGAGAAGAAACAGGAACCCACUUCUGCAUCUGUCUAUAGCAACAUCUGACUAUAACGACCUUCAAAAGAUAAUGGCUGUUGCUUCAUUUCCAACCCUCCAAAUCUCAAGCAAGUAUAUCUUUGGGCCAACUGUAACCUAUAACUCUAUAGGGAAGAGGUUUCUGAGAACUCUGUGUCACAGCUUAACCAUACAAAGACAAUACAAACCAUCCCGAUGAUGAUGAUGGUUGGUAAUAAUGAAGAAAAUAAUAUGAGUGUUUUCUCAAGGAAGGCUACUUCUUGAUGGCAGUUCUGGGAGACAUAAGAGAAGUUUUAUUUUUACCCAAAUGGUUGGUAAAUAAAUUACUGUGUGACAUGACAGAGUUCAAGUUAUAUGAUAUAGUAGAUUCACAUUAUGCCAAAAACUAUAAGACUCCCAGACACAGCCCAGGAAUUCAUUUUGAGAGCUAUCAUAGGCUUCUGAAUGUGCUACCAUCUAUGCUCUUAAUUUAAACCUUAAUUUGCUGUGUGGACGACAGACUACUCUGAAAACAACCCCAAAUGCUUCAGUGCAGGACUAUGUGUCGUGGAUAAAGUAACAAAAUUACAUAUUCAACCCAUUAUGGCCAUCCUCUUGUAUGGAAGAUGUAGAUUGUUACCAAUAUUUAACUCUUAUAAUUAACUUGAAUAAAUUUCCUUACAAAAUAAAUAUGUACACUUGUAAAUAUUCCAUUAUAGUAUCUUUCUUAGUGUAGAUAUCCUGGAGUAAAAGAAAAAUAUUUACAAAACAAGGUAACAAUUUUUAAAGCAAAAUAUCUAUUAUCAAAUUGUUCUCCAGAUAGGUAUUACCAAUUACACACCCACCAGCCCAGCAGUGUGAAAAUAUCACAUCUCCCACACCCCCAUCCACACCCACGUGGAAAAUUAUUAUUAAAAAUUAAUUUUUACCAACUUGAGAGGGAAAUGGUCCUAUUUUAAUUUUUUCAGGGGUGGAUUCAUAUGUUUACUAGAUAUGUAUAUGUAUCCUUCUAUGAGAUACUUGUUAGGUUAUUUCCCAUUUCUGUGUUGUGGCAUUAAUUUCUUUUUCUUGUUAAUAAUGCUCCCGAAGUUUUAUGUCAGUCUUUUCAUUUGUUUAUAGUAUUUUAUGGCAAAGGAUUUUCUUAAUUAAGUGGUUGUAGUCAAAUCUGCUAGUUUUUAUCUUUGUUUUCAGUUUGCAAUGUCAUGUAUAGACAUGCCUAUCUACCACCGAAAGUAUUUUAAAAAGCAAUGUGUAGGUUUUCUACUUUUGAAGAAUGUGCGUUUUCUACUUUUGAAGUAUGUGCAUUUUCUACCAAAGUCUUUAGUUUGUUUGAUAUGUGCAAUGAAGAAAAAUAUCUAACAAUACCUUAACUUUUCUCGAAUAAUAUUCCAAUUAUCCUAAUAUCCUUUGUGACUUAAACUUCCUAUUCUGACUUAAAAAGACUUUUAUCAUAAGUGCUCUACUUAAUCAUAGCCUUAGCACAUAGUGUGAGUCCUAGAGUCAGACUACAAGGUAAUUACUGUCACUUACAAGCUGUGUGACCUUAAGUGAUUUAAUUUAAUCAUCCUGUGACUAAGUUUUCUAAUCUGUAAAAUUGGAAUAAUGUGAGGAUAAAAUUAUCAUAAGGAUUAGCAAGCUGAAUUAACACGUGUAACGCUCAUAGACGACUGCCUGGCACAUAGUGAAUACUCAGGAAAUAUUACUGGUUGUUGUGUAGCGAGGUGUAUAAUGAAACACUGGUACAAUUUCAGAUUUUGGGUUUUGAGGACCGGGCUUAGAGGGUCACCUUGGGGAGAAUCUUGUAGAGUCCCACAUCUACCCUCUGCCUCAAUGAGAUACGAUCCUCCACUUUGAUGAGAUACUACCACUUGGAGAACUUGCUACAUGUCAAUCCCUGCUAUGGAGAAAGUAGACUUUUAUUCUAAUGCAGUAGACUUGAAAUCAUUUGAAUGUGAGAGAAGAGCUGGAGUCAGAAAGAGAUAAAAAGAGGGCCUGAGACUAUGCCUUAAAUUGUUAAUACAUUUAAGGGAUAGAAGAAAGAAAAGGAGAACCGUUAGAGAAGAUAGAAAGAAAUUGUUUCCUGGAUCAAAAACAGUUCUAGACUGGACUGUGUCUCCCACCCCUUUAAAUUCAUGUGUUGAAGCUCUAGCCCUCAAUGGGACUGUAUUUGGAGAUAAGACCUUUAAAGAUGUAAUUAAAGUUAAACGAGGUCAUAAGAGUAGGGCCCUAAUCCAAUAAAGCCUGUGUUCUUAUAAGAAGAGGAAGAGACUUCAAGGAUGCCUGGAAAGGCCAUGUGAGGACACAGCCAGGCAGGGGCCAUCUGCAAGCCAAGAAGAGAGCCCUCAGGAGAAACCACACUUGCUAACACCUGGAUCUUGGCUCUCCAACCUCCAGAAUUGUAAGAAAUAAAUUUCUGUUGUUCUAGCCACCCAGUCUGUGGGAUUUUGUUAUGGCAGCCCUGGCAGACUAAUACAGGAUCCAAGAGAAGAGAGAGUUUGAAAAAGGUGGGAGUGAUUGAUUGUGAGAAGUGCUGCUGAAAACACAACAAUAAAGUAAGCUGAGAACUUAAGUGUCUGUUGGAUCAGGAAAUAAGAAGUCAUUGUUAAUUUUGACAAGAACAUUUUAAUGGACUGAUAGAGGCAGAUUGCAGCGGAUUGAAGACUAAAGAGCAGGAUUCACAUAGAAAAUAUGGCAAUAUUUCAAAUCAUCAAAAUGACAAUAUGGCUGAGUAGGUGUUGUAUAAUGAAUAAAGAACUUCAUAAUUAAAUGCUUAUUCACAACUUUUAGUCUGAACAUCUUUUGCUGUAGGAGAUCUUGCCAAAUUGAUUCCCUUCGUACUUCCCAGUCCAAAUCUAAAUUAGUCACUGCUAUUACAUAUAUGUUACCUUAUCAUUUUUAAAUUGUAGUCUGUAUCAUAGUUACUUAUACUUCUGCAGUUACUUAAUUUUCUCUCUCACGAGGCAGUAAGCAAUGUGAGAACAAGGAUCAUAUUUGGUUUAUUCCAUUAUCUAUGGUUAGAACAUAGUGGACAUUUAAUAUGCAUUAAAUAAAACUAAAAUUCAUUCAACAAUAUGUCAUUAAAAUCUUUACAUGUCAAAUA
rnacentral:lncRNA from 1 species